CUCACAGCUGCUGAGGUAAAGGUUACAAACUUGAUCACCACCAUAUGCGCCCGUCUCAAGGCUGUGACUUUAUGCCGUGUCUAACAAUCGCUCCCGAAUAUUAUUCAUGACUAAUCGUUUGAACAGCGAAAGGAUCAUCUGGUUGUUGACCAGGCAAUGACGACGACUACUAGAACUACUACCAUAACUGAGAAGCCGCUGAAUGCCCAGGCGCAUCUCUUCGCGUAUUUCAACUCGGUCUAUAAGACAGAAUAACAAUCAUUUCCUCCAGUUUCUGAGCCUUUUCAGGGUCAUGCUCCUCCUCAGUGGACUUUAAGGGAAUCCACAUACUUGAAAAGUGAAAUGUGACGUGUCAGUAAUCGUCCCUGCGCCAACUUGAAGCGGACACAAGAAACCCCACUUCCAAAGGACCUUUGCCAAAGUGUUUGGCUCCUCUUUACUCGUUUUCGAAUAUGUGGGCAGCUCCUCACUCAUCAUUGGGGAUAUGGUCGGAUGGAGGACAUGUUGGUUCUGAAGCCUCUAUACGAGAACGUGGGUAGGCAAUGGGAGAGCUAGCGGGGAAGUCAUAGCAUGGAGGUCGAGGGAAGUGGUCGGUAGUCUCAACAUCUUGUGAACAAUCAGAGAUCGCAAGUCUCGUUGAACGAUUGACAGAAGCAGAAGCACCUGGCGCAGGAGGGUCAAAGGGAGCGUUGGACAUAUUUCAGACAAUGAACGUUGUGAGAUUGUCGGCUUUAGGGGGCUGUACACUAGGCAGUAGUAACCUAUGACCUGACUUAUUUAGCCAUGUGGUAUAGAUUCAUGAUGGGUGUGCAUAUAUACACUUGG
rnacentral:sRNA from 1 species